rnacentral:lncRNA from 1 species
UUUGCUGGAAAUUUAUUGCACUCAGUUCUCUGACUUGUCUCAGAUUUAGAAGCAUCGAGGUACUUAUUUUGUGAUUCUGUAUUUUGGCCAUGUUUUAAUCAUUUACUAAUAUACAUUAAAUUGAUAGAUUAACGUCAGACUAUGUAUAGCUCAACACUUUCUCUUGAUGAUCCAGAUGUUUGUAAUGUCAGACGACCCCUAAAUUUCCUGUAUUUGGUGAAAUGUUAUGCUUUAAUGUUUUAACAAUAAAAAGAAACCCAACCUGGUGUUGGCCAUAAUUUUUUUUGUUCAAGUCAAGAACAAAACCUUUGUAUUCAGCAUAGUAUCUUUUAAGUAUCUUUGGCAACAAGAGAUGCAAAAGUACCUAGGACGUCUGCUUUGGAAGCUUCAACUUCGCAGUCAUCAGCCUCAGUCAUCACUCAGCAAGUUCCCAAAUAUGUAACGUUAUAAGGACUCAUCCAUGCAGUUGCUACAGACCUGAAUUGGCUCAGUGAUACCCCAUGCUGUUUUAUUUUGGAGGAGAGCUGGUAAUGACCAAAUGAAGAAUUUGGAGAAAAUCAGCUCUGCAGUUGAAAUGAUGUCUCAGCAUGUCAUUAACACAUAUUGGUAGAGCAACCUCACAGAUGGGACAGAAGCUUUUUACGUGAGGACCAUAUGUGCACUAAAGAGAUAAUGUAAUGACCUUUCUGUUGUGGCUUUGGCUUUAGGGGUUACUGCUCUCAGCUGCCUGACUCCUUUUGUCUGUGCUCUGUUCCUUAGCCCCUUUUGCUUGAACUGUUCACCUGUGUGAUUUCUAAAGCAGAAAUUAGUCUCUUAAAAUGUCUUGACUAUCUAUAAAUAUAUAUUUUUUUUCAAAACCAGAAUGAUUUCCAACUGACUACAUUUAUGGUUAAAUGAAACAUCCCACUAUGGUGCAAAUAGGGUGUUAACAUCCAAAAGGGGCAAAAGAAGUCACGUGGGGAUGAAUGGCAGGUAGUAAUUGCUUAUUUCUUAGCAAAAGGGCAUGCAGAUACUAGGGAAAAUUUCUUGACCAAAAGGAGUGUGAGGCCAGACAGGCUGGAGUAGGCAGCUCAGGGAGUCACCCUCCUGGA